CACGUAGGGCGCAAGCGUUGUCCGGAAUUAUUGGGCGUAAAGAGCUCGUAGGCGGUCCAUCGCGUCGGGAGUGAAAAGCUGGGGCUCAACCCCAGUCCUGCUUUCGAUACGGGUGGACUAGAGGUAGGCAGGGGAGAACGGAAUUCCUGGUGUAGCGGUGAAAUGCGCAGAUAUCAGGAGGAACACCGGUGGCGAAGGCGGUUCUCUGGGCCUUACCUGACGCUGAGGAGCGAAAGCGUGGGGAGCAAACAGG
rnacentral:rRNA from 1 species